rnacentral:rRNA from 1 species
GAUGAACGCUGGCGGCGUGCCUAACACAUGCAAGUCGAGCGAUUCUCUUCGGAGAAGAGCGGCGGACGGGUGAGUAACGCGUGGGUAACCUGCCCUGUACACAUGGAUAACAUACCGAAAGGUAUGCUAAUACGAGAUAAUAUGCUUUUAUCGCAUGGUAGAAGUAUCAAAGCUUUUGCGGCACAGGAUGGACCCGCGUCUGAUUAGCUAGUUGGUAAGGUAACGGCUUACCAAGGCGACGAUCAGUAGCCGACCUGAGAGGGUGAUCGGCCACAUUGGAACUGAGACACGGUCCAAACUCCUACGGGAGGCAGCAGUGGGGAAUAUUGCACAAUGGGCGAAAGCCUGAUGCAGCAACGCCGCGUGAGCGAUGAAGGCC